GACGAACGCUGGCGGCGUGCCUAAUACAUGCAAGUCGAACGACGAGACUUUAACUGAUGCUUGCAUCGACCAAAGGAUCGGAGUGGCGAACGGGUGAGUAACACGUGGGUAACCUGCCUAUCAGAGGGGGAUAACACUUGGAAACAGGUGCUAAUACCGCAUAAUUCCUUUUACCGCAUGGUAAAAGGCUGAAAGGCGCUUCUGGUGUCACUGAUGGAUGGACCCGCGGUGCAUUAGCUAGUCGGUGGGGUAACGGCCUACCGAGGCGAUGAUGCAUAGCCGACCUGAGAGGGUGAUCGGCCACAUUGGGACUGAGACACGGCCCAAACUCCUACGGGAGGCAGCAGUAGGGAAUCUUCGGCAAUGGACGGAAGUCUGACCGAGCAACGCCGCGUGAGUGAAGAAGGUUUUCGGAUCGUAAAGCUCUGUUGUUAGAGAAGAACAAGUGUGAAAGUAACUAGUCACACCGUGACGGUAUCUAACCAGAAAGCCACGGCUAACUACGUGCCAGCAGCCGCCGUAAAAC
rnacentral:rRNA from 1 species